AUAGUCCAGCUGUGUCCCAACCAUAAUCACCUGGGAAUUCACCAGUGAGGUAUGAUGGAGUUUGCUCAGAGAAUGGACCCAAGUACUUGGGGCGGUCAGGUCCGUACCUGUUUCAUCAGUUGAGAUUUGAUGAGAUAAAUCUAAAUUGCCUUCAAAUUUGAUUGUAACAAGAAAAUAAGACAGGAAUUUGAGGUUAGGAACCUGUGACCCAAAAUAUAUGUUGUUCAAAUGUGAGUUGGGUACAAUUUCCUCUUGGAAACCACAAUUAAGUGCUUGGUGAACGGAUCCUUUAUUAUCAUUAUAAUAUGUACUGUUGAUCAAUCUAAUAGGAGUAAAAUUUACUUUAACGAGAUCAAUUUCUAUUAAAACUGCUAGAAUCAUAUGCAUGAGUGUUUGUGUAGCAUGUUUUCUCUAAGAUCAAUUUCUUUAUGAAAUUAGGGAGCAUUCUGAAGUGUGGCCGUAGCUAACAGUUUAAGCUGUAGUUGUGCAUGUGUAUGCGCAGGUUGAGCUAGAAUUUACCAAAUGCUCUGGGGAGCACUUUUAACAGUACGUCUCAUGGUGAAGCGGCCACCUCCGAGGUUGCCAACCUUUCUGAUGAGCUGAUUCUGGGAUUUCAAGGCUGUCUGGCCUGCAAAUGCAGAUUGUUGGAUUGCUGAAGUUGCCAU
rnacentral:lncRNA from 1 species